UACGGGGGGGGCAAGCGUUGUUCGGAAUUACUGGGCGUAAAGGGCGCGUAGGCGGCCUGCUAAGUCGGAUGUGAAAUCCCUCGGCUCAACCGAGGAACUGCAUCCGAUACUGGCGGGCUUGAAUCCGGGAGAGGGAUGUGGAAUUCCAGGUGUAGCGGUGAAAUGCGUAGAUAUCUGGAGGAACACCGGUGGCGAAGGCGGCAUCCUGGACCAACACUGACGCUGAGGAGCGAAAGCCAGGGGAGCAAACGGGG
rnacentral:rRNA from 1 species